rnacentral:rRNA from 1 species
UUGAAGAGUUUGAUCAUGGCUCAGAUUGAACGCUGGCGGCAGGCCUAAGACAUGCAAGUCGAGCGAGAAAGCCCUUCGGGGUGAGUACAGCGGCGGACGGGUGAGUAACGCGUAGGAAUCUACCCAGUAGUGGGGGACAACUAGUGGAAACGCUAGCUAAUACCGCAUACGCCCCAAGGGGGAAAGCGGGGGAUCUUCGGACCUCGUGCUAUUGGAUGAGCCUGCGUAAGAUUAGCUUGUUGGUGGGGUAAUGGCCCACCAAGGCGACGAUCUUUAGCUGGUCUGAGAGGAUGAUCAGCCACACCGGGACUGAGACACGGCCCGGACUCCUACGGGAGGCAGCAGUCGGGAAUAUUGCGCAAUGGGGGAAACCCUGACGCAGCCAUGCCGCGUGUGUGAAGAAGGCCCUAGGGUUGUAAAGCACUUUUAGUAGUGAGGAAGGCUCAGUAGUUAAUACCUACUGGGAUUGACGUUAGCUACAGAAAAAGCACCGGCUAAUUUCGUGCCAGCAGCCGCGGUAAUACGAAAGGUGCAAGCGUUAAUCGGAAUUACUGGGCGUAAAGCGCGCGUAGGCGGACUGGAAAGUUGGGGGUGAAAUCCCAGGGCUCAACCCUGGAACUGCCUCCAAAACUAUCAGUCUAGAGUUCGAGAGAGGUGAGUGGAAUUCCGAGUGUAGAGGUGAAAUUCGUAGAUAUUCGGAGGAACACCAGUGGCGAAGGCGGCUCACUGGCUCGAUACUGACGCUGAGGUGCGAAAGUGUGGGGAGCAAACAGGAUUAGAUACCCUGGUAGUCCACGCCGUAAACGAUGUCAACUAGCCGUUGGGAGGGUAAUCCUUUUAGUGGCGCAGCUAACGCUUUAAGUUGACCGCCUGGGGAGUACGGUCGCAAGAUUAAAACUCAAAGAAAUUGACGGGGGCCCGCACAAGCGGUGGAGCAUGUGGUUUAAUUCGA